rnacentral:rRNA from 1 species
UAGGGAAUCUUCGGCAAUGGACGAAAGUCUGACCGAGCAACGCCGCGUGUGUGAAGAAGGUUUUCGGAUCGUAAACUCUGUUGGUAGAGAAGAGCGUUGGUGAGAGUGGAAAGCUCAUCAAGUGACGGUAACUACCCAGAAAGGGACGGCUAACUACGUGCCAC